GUGAGGAUGGUCUUACUUUCAUUUAUGUUGAAUGUGAUUUUCAGUUUGUUAGGAAUUGAAUGGUCUCUGUAGUAAAACACAGUAAAAUUACACACAGGCACACACUUAUGAUUAUAGUUAAACAUUUUGCUCAAACCGAUCAACCAAACCCGACCCGACAGACACUUGAUUGGGUUGGGUUUCAACAUUUACCUGGGUUGGGUUGGGUUGGUUUUUGGUGAAACCGACCACAUUGGGUUGGGGUAAAAACCGACCCAACCCAACCCAACCCACGCCCACCCCUACUGAUAAGAAGGGAUUGACAGCCUCCCUAAUCGCAUACUCACGAUAGGAAAUGGAACCACUUUUUUUGAAAUUUCUUAUUCACGCAGGUUCUACACGCAUAUAAGAGGAUAUCAAGACUUCUGUCAAUGAUUUUCAGUCAAUUUAGCUUAAUUCUUCAAAUUAUUGUAACCAAAAUAUCGUAUUGAUAAAGAUACAACGGCUCGUACACAAUGCCUUCAACAGCAAUGACAAAAAAGGUGGAAAAAAGUUAAAAUUUUGUUACGUACUAUUUAAUCUUGGCAGCUACUAAUCAUCAAACGUGCAUGAAAUACAUCAUCUACAAAGAGGACGAGCUUAGCCUCCUUUUGGCAAUAAAUUUUAAAUUCAGUUAAGGUUAAAUAUUAAUUUCAACCACACAUUUAUAAGUAAUCCUCAUUUUAUUAUUCGCACAAUUUGUGGAAUACACUCUUUAUAAAUUGAUUUAUAAAUUUGUCAAAUUAAGACUAAACCUUCCGAUUUGAUUGUUUUGCAUGAGUAUCAUGUGCAACGAAGAAGUCUAAUAUGUUUUAUUUGUUCAAAGGUUGAACCCAAAUCAUGAGGGGCCCCCAUUGCGUUGCCCUUAAAGUAUCGUGAGGGAGGUAAAUCG
rnacentral:lncRNA from 1 species